GGCGCAGGCGGCUUUUUAAGUCGGAUGUAAAAUCUCCUGGCUUAACUGGGAGGGGCCAUCCGAUACUGGGAAGCUAGAGUGCAGCAGAGGGAGGUGGAAUUCCCGGUGUAGUGGUGAAAUACGUAGAUAUCGGGAGGAACACCAGUGGCGAAAGCGGCCUCCUGGGCUGUAACUGACGCUGAGGACCGAAAGCGUGGGGAGCAAACAGGAUUAGAUACCCUGGUAGUCCACGCCCUAAACUAUGGAUACUAGGUAUGGGGAGUAUCGACCCUCUCCGUGCCGAAGCCAACGCCUUAAGUAUCCCGCCUGGGGACUACGGCCGCAAGGCUAAA
rnacentral:rRNA from 1 species